rnacentral:rRNA from 1 species
AAUUCGAUUGAGUUUGAUCAUGGCUCAGGACGAACGCUGGCGGCGUGCUUAACACAUGCAAGUCAAGGGGGCCCAGCAAUGGGCAACCGGCGAACGGGUGCGUAACACGUGAGCAACCUUCCGAAAUAUGGGGGAUAGCCGGCCUAACGGCCGAGUAAUACCGCAUACGCUCUCGAUGAGGCAUUUCAUUGAGAGGAAACCUCCGGGGUAUUUCGAGGGGCUCGCGGCCUAUCAGCUAGUUGGCGAGGUAACGGCUCACCAAGGCAACGACGGGUAGCUGGUCUGAGAGGAUGGCCAGCCACAUUGGGACUGAGAUACAGCCCAGACUCCUACGGGAGGCAGCAGUGGGGAAUCUUGCGCAAUGGCCUAACGGCUGACGCAGCGACGCCGCGUGUAGGAUGAAGCUCUUCGGAGUGUAAACUACUGUUGCCCGGGACGAAUAGCUCGAUUAAUCGAGCCUGACAGUACCGGGUGAGGAAGCACCGGCUAACUCCGUGCCAGCAGCCGCGGUAAUACGGGGGGUGCGAGCGUUGUCCGGAAUCACUGGGCGUAAAGGGCGCGUAGGUGGUUUGAUAAGGGUGUGGUGAAAGUCCGGGGCUCAACCCCGGAUCUGCCGUGCCGACUGUCAAACUCGAGGACUGUAGAGGCAGACGGAAUUCCGGGUGUAGCGGUGGAAUGCGUAGAGAUCCGGAGGAAGANCGGUGGCGAAGGCGGUCUGCUGGGCAGUUUCUGACACUGAGGCGCGACAGCGUGGGGAGCAAACAGGA